GCACGCACAGCCCUCCGCCGAAGCGCAGCGAUAACAAUACCGAGCAGCCUCUGCCUGCCAAAAUAACGCAAAACGCCAUGCUUGGGCUUUGCCAGAAAACACCGGAUUUGCUUUUAUGUUUUGUCGGGGACAGGCCGGAACUUAACCAAUUUACCCUCAUUGGCUUUCCUGACGCUAUCAUUACCUAACAUGCAAGUUUCUCCAGUCUGUUUCUUACAUCGAGACAAUGCAAGACAUGCUCCAGUUCUGGCAGUCUUCCACUUCCAUCCCACACUGAUCACUUUACAUCUCUCUGUAUUCUCUCCUCACACUGAUUCGGAGUCAUCAUGACCAGACUGCCUCUACAACUGGUGUAACAGGUAGCUCUCCUCCACUGAGAUGCAAACAGAUCUUCAUGUGAAAAGAAAGAAGGAAAGAUCUGCUUUGGGGACUGUUGAAGUUACACUAAUAGAGGGCCAUGAAGGGACAGCUGAGAAGCAAAUAGUUUCUUAUGCCAAGACCAAGGAACCAAAACAGAACAUUCUGACUCCUUGCAAAGCCAGAAUGAAGAAAAUGAAAGGAAAAAUGUUGUAAAUGGACAUCUUCAGCAAAAGCAUGAGUAGCAUGGCCUCGAGUUCUACUGCCAUCAGUGUAAGGAACACCAUUUCAGGUAACAGCUGUAGGACCUUUCCACAGUGAUCACUCUCUCCUCGUUUAACCCCUGCAGAAUAAAACAGGUCCUUUCCACACAUGAUUGGGAAAAAUCCAGCAUUUAACCAUAAGUGGUCCAAAAGCACUUUCCAUUUUAAGACUAAGAAAAAAUGAAGCCAAAAUAUUCUUUCUUCUGGCUGAAGAACCUAGGGAAAGCACCAUAUGCUGGGGAACUGAAAAUAAACCAGAUCUUUCCUACUGAGGUGUGAAAUCUUAACACUGUUAAUAUCCAGAUUACACAGGGAGCAUAUUUGCCUUUGGGCACUGCUGGAAAUGAACCCCAGAUCUUGGCAACAUUGAUGUUUCCAUAUUAAUAUUAGUGAACCUUCCUUAAUAAUUGAUGAGGCCUUGCAGCAACGUGAAAAAAAUAAAUAAAUCCUGUCCCGUAGGAUUUUGGGUUGCUAACUUGCAGAAGAUUAGACAAGUACAGCCUGCUGAGAGUCCUAAUGAAUCAAGAAUGCAGGCAGACAGCACCAUUCAUAGGCCUCUCCAAACAGCCAAAGUUACUGGUAUGACACAACAGUACUGCUCUUUACUCUACUUCUGUUCUUCACUAUGGUUGCUCCACUGUGAUUUGCUCAAAUAGCUCAAGACCAGCAAUCAGCAGGUGAAGGGAGCUUUCUGAUGGUGGUGAGACAUGGUAAUAUCUCCCCUAUGCAUAUACAUAGAAAAACAGCCUUUGUCAUCCUGAAUUUUAACUGCUGCUGUAGGGUAUCCCACUUUUGCAUCAUUGCUUUGGUCCUUGUCACUGCAGGUGCCUUAUCUCAGCAGCAGAAGCCAACUAGUAAAAGCUGCACCAUGCUCAGCCUGUUACUAAGCCAGAUGACCAUGAUGUCUGAAGCUGCGCAAUGCCGCAGGAUGACAUCCAUCUGCUAUAAAAUUCCAGUUGCAUAGGCAUCAUCCUAUUUGUAUUAAUAAGAUUUAUAUUCCCAGAAUUAAUGAAGAUUCCUUCAAGCAUCCUGACAGCAGUUCAAAAACAACUGGCAAAAGUAAUGGAUGUCACAAAAGCAAUGAUGAGAGUGUUAGUCUCAGCUGCAGUUUGAAAUUCCUGUCUUCAGGGACUAUUCUGCACUGUGGGAAAAAAAAAAAAAGAAAUAAAAGCUGUAGAGGGUUGGGGUGCAUGAUGGAACGUCACACCAUAGGGCAUCUUCCUAGACUGCUGAGGGGCACAUUUGAAAAAAUGUGGUACUGUGCAUAUGCAAUUACAUUUCAUUAAAGAUGAGACUACUGUAAGCUGCUGUUGCAAAGUGAUAUGGACGCACUUGUGUUUGAUAUUCCUAAAUUGUUGAGCUUAGAGUGGACUGGUUCAUCUUAUUUAUGACUAUUUAGAGGUGCAGCCUCAGAAAGGUGUAUGUGAAGUAUUUCCUCAGCUGGUCUUACUCGAUAUUCUUUGUUUAAACCUAUAUCAAAAACUAUUUAACAAGUAGUGAAAAGUCUGUUUUAGCAACUGCCGUGGCUCUCCCCCACCCCAUUUUUGUCUAAAAUCUGGACAAAGCUCUGUAAACACACACUACAGAAUUAAGCAGGAAACUAAACUCGGUGCAACUUAGUGAGACCAUAGGAACAGUCAGUCAGCAUGUUUUUGCACCACAUUGUUGCACGACAAAUUCUGGUUGAAAAGAAUUAAAUCAGUGUUUAGAUCAAAAUAAUCUACAUUAUCCUGACCUUAUGACAUCAUGAUAGAGUACAGUGCCAAUGCAUAUUAAGAGCUUUUUGCACAAUUUUAGCUAAAAUUUAUCCUAAUUGUCCUAAUAUAUCCUAAUUAUCCUAAUAUAUCCUAAUAAAUCCUAAGAUUUAUCCUAAUUCCUUGAAUUCAAGUUAAUUUCCAUAGAACUCCAUUGAUUUCACCUCUUUGAUUCUGAGAAAAUGUUCCAUAAGGCACUGGCUACUACAUUAUUAAAUACAUACAGAUAAGGUUAUCAGAUCUUGACAGCUAGCAGGUGUUGAAAUCCUUAUUUUAAAGAUUGCUAUAGUUUGUUUCUGGUUUUGUUUUUCUUUUUCUUUUUUUUUCUUUUUUUUUUUUAAAUCAAUCUAGAAAUGGUGUAUUGAUAGGUGAUAGGAUGCACAGGCAAUCAAUGUAUUUACAGAGGAAGGUACAGAAUCUCUAAUAUUCAUUAUUCAGUGCUCCAGCCACUUAUAUGUGUGUAUGUGAAUUAUGUGCAGUAUUACUGAAACAAAAAAGUACAAUAUGAGGCAAUUUUCAUAGACUGAUGAUGAUAACAGCAUGUGCCCUUUCAACUGAAGAUUAUUUUUUAUUUCAGGUCUCUUCAGUAAGAGGAUAGCUUCUGUAAAAUAACAAAGUUAAUUGUGGUUAGCACUGAAAUGAUAAAUAAAAGAUUUGACUUUCUACAGGAGGCUAUUUUUUCAACUGAUAAAAGGGGAGAGAUGUCUGACAGAAUAAUGGGAUUAAUUUUAAAAACAUGCUUAGCUUUGGACAUUAUGUCCAAAGGCAAUGGCAUGAUUACUGUUGCCUUUAAAGAAAAUACAAAAGUUUAAUUUUAGGAAAAACACUGGAAAUACUAAGACAGUAGGCAUUUGAUUGGCUUUGAGGACUUAAUAGACAGUUUAGUUACCUUUCAAAUUGCUGGCUGACAAACCAAAGGGUACAUUUCAAACAAGUUGUCUGUUGUUCACAAUCUCAGCUACUACUGGCUUUACUGGAAAUCAUACUGUUAAUAUAUUUUGUAAUAAGUCUACAUUUUCUUGAGCCAAUUGUUUUUGUACCACUAACUUUUCCUACCAAGCAAUGUAGUCAGGCAACACUCAGACAGUUUAUUGUGCUGAUUAAAGAAAAAAAAACUUGUUCAUGUUUUCUGAAGAUUUUCUUGGAAAGUGAGAUCCUCACCACCUUGAAAUUAAUUUAUUUUCAAACAAUGCAAGGAGUAUUUUGUCACAUGAACACACAUGAACACACAAGCAUUUGCAUGUUCACACGUUGAAGCAGAGUAAAGAUAUUAUAGGAAACUACUUUGAAUUUCCUGACCUUCACAGAACUAAGGUUUCAACCUUAAUCAGUGCUAACACAGUUUCUCUCCCCACCCAUCUUUU